rnacentral:pre_miRNA from 1 species
UAAUAAUGAUGAUGAUGAUGAUGGUGAUGGUGAUGGUGAUGGUGAUGGUGAUGGCGAUCAUCAUCAUCAUCAUUAUCACAACCAUCAUCGUCAUAG